CCUACGGGAGGCAGCAGUGGGGAAUAUUGCACAAUGGGGGAAACCCUGAUGCAGCGACGCCGCGUGAGUGAAGAAGUAUUUCGGUAUGUAAAGCUCUAUCAGCAGGGAAGAAAAUGACGUUACCUGACUAAUAAGCCCCGGCUAACUACGUGCCAGACGCCGCGGUAAUACGGAGGGGGCAAGCGUUAUCCGGAUUUACUGGGUGUAAAGGGAGCGUAGACGGCUGCGCAAGUCUGAAGUGAAAUGCCGGGGCUGAACCCCGGGACUGCUUUGGAAACUGUGCAGCUAGAGUGCAGGAGAGGUAAGUGGAAUUCCUAGUGUAGCGGUGAAAUGCGUAGAUAUUAGGAGGAACACCAGUGGCGAAGGCGGCUUACUGGACUGUAACUGACGUUGAGGCUCGAAAGCGUGGGGAGCAAACAGGAUUAGAUACCCUAGUAGUC
rnacentral:rRNA from 1 species